UGACAAAGUGAAGUUGAAACCUCAAAGGUCAAAUGUAGAGAGCUAUCAGGUUGUUGUACAGCAAAAGAAGAAACCAACAUUGUACCUGAAAAUCUUUUAAAGAGAAGAAUACCAUCUAAGUGGGUUGACCAACUUGAAUUAGCACAGUGCUACUUAAGAAUAGAGGAGGAAGGAGGACUGUAUGGAGCACCUUCUGUUCAUGUGGUGAUUUAG
rnacentral:lncRNA from 1 species